AACACCACAGAGGGGAGCCUUUUUGGCUGAGAGUGAUUCGUUCAGACCCUUAGAACCUGUUAUGUUAGUACAUGCGAAGGAAUUUGUGGCUAGUUAGUGU
rnacentral:ncRNA from 2 species